rnacentral:rRNA from 1 species
AUGAACGCUAGCGACAGGCUUAACACAUGCAAGUCGAGGGGCAGCACAGGUAGCAAUACCGGGUGGCGACCGGCGCACGGGUGAGUAACGCGUAUGCAACUUGCCUAUCAGAGGGGGAUAACCCGGCGAAAGUCGGACUAAUACCGCAUGAAGCAGGGGCCCCGCAUGGGGAUAUUUGCUAAAGAUUCAUCGCUGAUAGAUAGGCAUGCGUUCCAUUAGGCAGUUGGCGGGGUAACGGCCCACCAAACCGACGAUGGAUAGGGGUUCUGAGAGGAAGGUCCCCCACAUUGGUACUGAGACACGGACCAAACUCCUACGGGAGGCAGCAGUGAGGAAUAUUGGUCAAUGGCCGAGAGGCUGAACCAGCCAAGUCGCGUGAGGGAUGAAGGUUCUAUGGAUCGUAAACCUCUUUUAUAAGGGAAUAAAGUGCGGGACGUGUCCCGUUUUGUAUGUACCUUAUGAAUAAGGAUCGGCUAACUCCGUGCCAGCAGCCGCGGUAAUACGGAGGAUCCGAGCGUUAUCCGGAUUUAUUGGGUUUAAAGGGUGCGUAGGCGGCCUUUUAAGUCAGCGGUGAAAGUCUGUGGCUCAACCAUAGAAUUGCCGUUGAAACUGGGGGGCUUGAGUAUGUUUGAGGCAGGCGGAAUGCGUGGUGUAGCGGUGAAAUGCAUAGAUAUCACGCAGAACCCCGAUUGCGAAGGCAGCCUGCCAAGCCAUUACUGACGCUGAUGCACGAAAGCGUGGGGAUCAAACAGGAUUAGAUACCCUGGUAGUCCACGCAGUAAACGAUGGUCACUAGCUGUUUGCGAUACACUGUAAGCGGCACAGCGAAAGCGUUAAGUGAUCCACCUGGGGAGUACGCCGGCAACGGUGAAACUCAAAGGAAUUGACGGGGGCCCGCACAAGCGGAGGAACAUGUGGUUUAAUUCGAUGAUACGCGAGGAACCUUACCCGGGUUUGAACGCAUUCGGACCGAGGUGGAAACACCUUUUCUAGCAAUAGCCGUUUGCGAGGUGCUGCAUGGUUGUCGUCAGCUCGUGUCGUGAGAUGUUGGGUUAAGUCCCGCAACGAGCGCAACCCCUAUCCUCAGUAGCCAGCAAGUAAAGUUGGGCACUCUGUGGAGACUGCCAGGGAUAACCUGGAGGAAGGCGGGGAUGACGUCAAAUCAGCACGGCCCUUACAUCCGGGGCGACACACGUGUUACAAUGGCGUGGACAAAGGGAAGCCACCUGGCGACAGGGAGCGAAUCCCCAAACCACGUCUCAGUUCGGAUCGGAGUCUGCAACCCGACUCCGUGAAGCUGGAUUCGCUAGUAAUCGCGCAUCAGCCAUGGCGCGGUGAAUACGUUCCCGGGCCUUGUACACACCGCCCGUCAAGCCAUGGGAGCCGGGGGUACCUGAAGUCCGUAACCGCGAGGAUCGGCCUAGGGUAAAACUGGUGACUGGGGCU